rnacentral:rRNA from 1 species
AUGUUUCUUAGUUCAAUGUACUCGUCAUUGUGUAUGCAAAAGCAUGUUUCUGGAGUACUUAAGAAUCAUGCGGCUCUCUACAGAUUUAAAAUUCAUGGUAUGAUCAUAGGAGUGCACUUUGUUGGGGGUGGGGGGCAAUUUGUUGAAUGGAUAGCACUGACAUCAGUUACAACAUGUAAUUGCCUUGCAAAGUUUCGCAGAGAACAAGCUAUCUGGGAAUUUCUUCCAAUAGCAGCAACCUCCGAGCAAGCAAAACUAUUCUCUGUAAAUAAUCUUCUAGAACCACAGUUAUCUAUUUUCUUUCUAUUUUACCUUUUUCCUGUAUUGGAUUUCCAUGUACUGAACACUCUCCUUAAUCAAUGA